GUCUUACUCCCUCCGUUCCAAAUUAUUCGUCGCGAAAAUAGAUGUAUUUAAAACUAAAAUACAUCUAGAUACAUCCAUACCUACGACAAGUAAUUCGGAACGGAGGGAGUACAUU
rfam:Triticum aestivum genome assembly, contig: Triticum_aestivum_CS42_TGACv1_scaffold_558047_7AL